UCGGGAAUUUUGGGCAAUGGGCGAAAGCCUGACCCAGCAACGCCGCGUGAAGGAUGAAGUAUUUCGGUAUGUAAACUUCGAAAGAAUAGGAAGAAUAAAUGACGGUACUAUUUAUAAGGUCCGGCUAACUACGUGCCAGCAGCCGCGGUAAUACGUAGGGACCAAGCGUUGUUCGGAUUUACUGGGCGUAAAGGGCGCGUAGGCGGCAAUUCAAGUCAUCUGUGAAAUCUCCGGGCUUAACUCGGAACGGUCAGAUGAUACUGCUUUGCUAGAGUGCAGAAGGGGCAAUCGGAAUUCUUGGUGUAGCAGUGAAAUGCGUAGAUAUGUGGAGGAAUACCGAUGGCGAAGGCAGCCCCCUGGGAUAACACUGACGCUCAUGCACGAAAGCGUGGGGAGCAAACAGGAUUAGAUACCCACGUAGUCCCUGAGCGGGC
rnacentral:rRNA from 1 species